rnacentral:rRNA from 1 species
UCAAAUCAUCAUGCCCUUUAUGUCCUGGGCUACACACGUACUACAAUGGCCGUUACAACGGGAAGCGAAGGAGCAAUCCGGAGGCAAAUCCCUUAAAGGCGGUCCCAGUUCAGAUUGUGGGCUGAACUCGCCCACAUGAAGGCGGAAUUGCUAGUAAUUGCAGAUCAGCAUGCUGCAGUGAAUACGUUCCCGGGCCUU